AGAACUUGAAACCGUGUGCUUACAAGUAGUCAGAGCCCGUUAAUGGGUGAUGGCGUGCCUUUUGUAGAAUGAACCGGCGAGUUACGAUCUGAUGCAAGGUUAAGCAGAAAAUGUGGAGCCGUAGCGAAAGCGAGUCUGAAUAGGGCGAAUGAGUAUUUGGUCGUAGACCCGAAACCAGGUGAUCUACCCUUGGUCAGGUUGAAGUUCAGGUAACACUGAAUGGAGGACCGAACCGACUUACGUUGAAAAGUGAGCGGAUGAACUGAGGGUAGCGGAGAAAUUCCAAUCGAACUUGGAGAUAGCUGGUUCUCUCCGAAAUAGCUUUAGGGCUAGCCUCAAGUGAUGAUUAUUGGAGGUAGAGCACUGUUUGGACGAGGGGCCCCUCUCGGGUUACCGAAUUCAGACAAACUCCGAAUGCCAAAUAAUUUAACUUGGGAGUCAGAAUGUGGGUGAUAAGGUCCAUAUUCGAAAGGGAAACAGCCCAGACCACCAGCUAAGGUCCCAAAAUAUAUGUUAAGUGGAAAAGGAUGUGGCGUUGCCCAGACAACUAGGAUGUUGGCUUAGAAGCAGCCAUCAUUUAAAGAGUGCGUAAUAGCUCACUAGUCGAGUGACACUGCGCCGAAAAUGUACCGGGGCUAAACAUAU
rnacentral:rRNA from 1 species